AGUAGUAAUGUUGUAGGUGAUAAAAAAGAAGGUAGUAUUAAUAAAAAACUAAAUAAAUUAGAAAAAACGUAAAGUUAUGUCUACAAUAGGAGAUCCAAAUAAAGUUAAGAGUUAUAUUAGUACCACUACAAAUGCAAAUAUGAACGAUAAUAAAAAUAUAGAUGGAAACAAUAACUGUAAUAAUAAAAAACACGAAACAAAAUCUAAAAAAAUCUACAAACAAUGAAACAUAUGAUAACAUAACAUAUGAAGAUAUGUUUAUAAAUAUUGAAAGUGAUUAUAGUUAUAAUAGUAAUGAACAAAUGAAUGAGUAUGGUAAUAAUAAAAAUGAUGAAGAAAAUAAUAAAAAUAAAAAAAUAAAAAUGCUAAAGAAUAUAUAACUAAAUUACAUUUUAAUAAUAUGAAUGUGAACAAUUUUUUUAAUAAAGAUGCAUUUUUUAUUUUAAAAAAACCAAAAGAAACAAUUAAAGUUAAUUCCAUUUCAUUAAAAAAUAAAACAAAACAAAAUAAAGGAACAAAUAAUACUGUUUAUGAUUGUGGUUUAAAAUAUAAUAUGUCUACAACUAACAGUACUCAGAAUAAUACAAAUAACGUGCAAAUUGAUAAAUUUAAUACUACUGUACCAUUACAUAACGAUAAUAAUAGUGGUACAUUUGAUAUUGAGUAUAAUAGUAAUAGCGAUUAUAAACACAAAGAAAAAAAAUAAUUAUAACAAUAUUAAUAAUACACAUAAAGAUAAUAACUUAACCGAUAUAUCUAAUAACUCUAAUGACAAAAUCAAAAAUAUUUAUUCAUUAAAUUGUAAUAAAAAUAACAAUAUAAAUGAAAAUAAUACAAAUAGUACAUCCGCAGUAGUUAAUACAGCAAACAAAAAUAAAUAUACUCCUUAUAAAACAUUAAACGAAUCAAUAAAUUUAAAUAAAGAGAUCAACUCGAAGGAUGCUGAUGGGGUUGAUAUUGUUAACGAGUUAGGUGGCAAUACAAAUGAAAUCGACUCAAAAAAGAUAAAUACAAAUGUAACCAAUACAAAUGUAACCAAUACGAAUGUAGCCAACACAAAUGUAGCCAAUACAAAUGUAGCCAAUACAAAUGUAGCCAAUACAAAUGUAGCCAACACAAUUGAAUCGAACAAUUUGUUUAUGUGGAAAGAUAUAUCAAAUAUUCAAAAACAAACAAUGUCAAUAAAUCAUAAUAAUAAUAAUAAUAAUAAUAAUAAUAAUAAUAAUAUAUAUAAAAAUUACGAAGAAAUAAAUUUUACUAUAAAUAAUGGUUCACCUGGUACAAAUAUAACUACUAAUGAGAAAAAUAAUAUAACAUGUACAGAAACAAAAAGAAAUUUAACUAAAUAUUUAAUGUUACCCGUUAAUAUAUCCGAAUUAUAUAUAAUGAAAAAGAGAAUAUUUCAAGAUCCUCCUGUUGGUUUACAGAAUUUAGGAAAUACGUGUUAUUUGAACUGCUUUUUACAAGCAUUAUAUAGUACAGUGGCAUUUGUUGUCAAUUUGUAUUUAUAUAAACUAGAUGACUGUAAUAGUCUUGAUAUAAAUAUUAAUAAUAUAAAUUAUUAUGAUGAUAUCAAUAAAAGUAAUAUUAAUCAUAACAUAAAUAAUAGUAAUAGUAAUGGUAAUACUAAUGGUAAUACUAAUGGUAAUACUAAUGGUAAUUAUAA
ensembl:lncRNA